rnacentral:rRNA from 1 species
AUUGAACGCUGGCGGCAUGCCUUACACAUGCAAGUCGAACGGCAGCGCGGGGGCAACCCUGGCGGCGAGUGGCGAACGGGUGAGUAAUAUAUCGGAACGUACCCAAGAGUGGGGGAUAACGUAGCGAAAGUUACGCUAAUACCGCAUACGAUCUAAGGAUGAAAGCAGGGGACCGCAAGGCCUUGUGCUCCUGGAGCGGCCGAUAUCUGAUUAGCUAGUUGGUGGGGUAAAGGCCUACCAAGGCAUCGAUCAGUAGCUGGUCUGAGAGGACGACCAGCCACACUGGGACUGAGACACGGCCCAGACUCCUACGGGAGGCAGCAGUGGGGAAUUUUGGACAAUGGGGGGCAACCCUGAUCCAGCAAUGCCGCGUGAGUGAAGAAG